GCUUGUCUCAAAGAUUAAGCCAUGCAUGUCUAAGUAUAAGCAACCUUAUACAGCGAAACUGCGUACAGCUCAUUAUAUCAGCAAUUAUUUAUUUGAAGAUCACCUAUUACAUGGAUAACCGUGGUAAUUCUAGAGCUAAUACAUGCAGCAAUCCCUGACUUAGGAAAGGGUGUACUUAUUAGAUGGAAACCAAUGAGGGGCAACCCUGUAUAUGGUGAUUCAUAAUAAUUUUCGGAUCGAUCUUUGAUCGAUGCAUCAUUCAAGUUUCUGCCCUAUCAGCUUUGGAUGGUAGGGUAUUGGCCUACCAUGGCUUUAACGGGUAACGGAGAAUUAGGGUUCGAUUCCGGAGAGGGAGCCUGAGAAAUGGCUACCACAUCCAAGGAAGGCAGCAGG
rnacentral:rRNA from 1 species